rnacentral:rRNA from 1 species
UACGUAGGGUGCAAGCGUUGUCCGGAAUUAUUGGGCGUAAAGAGCUCGUAGGCGGUUUGUCGCGUCUGCUGUGAAAACUCAGGGCUUAACCCUGAGCCUGCAGUGGGUACGGGCAGACUAGAGUGUGGUAGGGGAGAUCGGAAUUCCUGGUGUAGCGGUGGAAUGCGCAGGAUAUCAGGAGGAACACCGGUGGCGAAGGCGG